rnacentral:lncRNA from 1 species
AUGGUGUCUGUUUUCAUGCUGUCUUGCAUGGUUUCUGUCUCCCCUGUCCCCUCUGUUCGUCCUUCCUCCUUUUGCUACAGAGAGGAGGAAUAUGAGGAGGAAGAAGAAGAGGAACACCCUAUCACAGAGCCUAAUACUGAGGAUGAGGGGGAGGAGCCCUCUAGGCAGGUUACUGUCAGCAAUGUUUCGACAGUUCCUGUGAUUGACAGCAUAGAACAAGCUGGUAGCUCAUGUUCGCCUUGUAAAUACAUAGUCAACUUCAUUCCAACCACUGCAGAGGAGAAAUUUCCCACUAGCCCUCCAGCCAAGAGCCCACCACCUUCGGCCACUGAGACUCCCGAUCUCCCUGAUUCAUCCUACCUGUCUCCACAACCCUCCGUCCUUGCUUCGUUGUUAGUCAACCGGAAGUUGCCUGCCAGCACAACCAGCACCUCAUCCAGAUCUGGUUCCCAGGGUUCCUCGGCAAACAUCACCCCAGCUGUAUCUCCAACAGUGGAGAAGCUGCCAUACCUUCCUCAUUCCCCAUUCCAUCUUUUCUCAUAUGACUUUGACGAGCCUUCUCCUUCUACAGUCAAAGACACAGAGGCUGAAGCAAUGAGGUGCCUCAGGUAGAUGCUAAAGUUAGCCAUUGACACUAAUACCUAAAAAGUAAACAAAAUGUCUUUAAUACUUCCAGAAAUCCACAUGGGCACUGCUGUUUUUUGUUUCUUAGGGAAGCACUUAACAUGGGUGUUUAACUAACUUGAGAUAACUGAGUGGAUAUUGUUAUGGAAGUGCAGUUCUAAAGGGUUAUGAACUCUUGAAACAGGUACUGCACCUCUCUCUCCCUUUCUCUUUCUAAUGGAAUGCACUUUUUAUUUUUAGGGUUCAGAAUACCUCUGCCAAAUACUAGUGGGGAGGUAUAAUUUCUUUAAGCCAGCAGCUGGCAAGCUAAAUUUUCCAUUUUACAACCCUGAGGGCCCUCCUGUAGUUUAUUGCUCAUCUGCCUUUCAUUGUGGUUGUGAGGAACUUUCUAGUUUAAAAAAAAAUGAAAGGAUAGUUCAAAUGCUGGUUAGCCAUCAAAGCACCUAUAAAAAUUGAGCAAACUGAAAAAACUGUUUUUUUUUUCCAUCAUAGACACUGUUUGGACAUGACAUCUUUCCUUGCAUCAAUUUUACUUCUAAUCAACCAGGGACCAGUUUAAAAUGAACUAAAUACAGCUGUUUUUGUGUCAUGUUUAAUGAUGGUAAAGACAUUUUUUUUCAAAGGAUCAUGGAGAUAAAUUCUACUUCUUAUUAUUGUCAGUAUCAGUUUAAGAUAUGAC